rnacentral:lncRNA from 12 species
CCCAUAUCAGCAGGACCCACCAGUGGGGAGCUGAGCCUGUACCCUGACCUGGCAUUCAUGAAGCAGAAAUAGGUGAUGUGAGAACUUCUUCCUUUGAAGACUUUCAAAGAAGUCUUGACAGUAGGGCCUUCCUCCCACCUUCAGAAGCCUAAAGGUAACAAAUAUAUUUAUAUUUUCCCCCUUCCCAGAUGCUAAGUUAUG